GCCGUAGCUCAGUGGCAGAGCUCUUGCCUAGCAUGUGUGAGGCACUGGGUUUGAUCCUCAGCACCGCA
rnacentral:tRNA from 1 species